rnacentral:snRNA from 1 species
CUGCCUCACCCCCCUUCUAAAAAAAAGUAGCUGAGCAUAGUGGUACACAUCUGUAGUCUCAGCUACUCUGAAGGCUGAGGCGAAAUCACUUGAACCCAGGAGGCAGAGGUUGCAGUGAGCCAAGAUGGUGUCACUCUACUCCAGCUUGGGCAACAGUG